UGAUUCGGGAAGUGUUCCAUUUGGGAUUUGUCUUCUCUAUGUAUAUGUUUUGGUUAUUUCUAUGGAUUUUCGUGAUAUGGUUAUUUAUUAAUCAUGUAUUCUGUUUUAUAGGUUUGAUUACCUGGCCUGGAUUAUAACAGAUUUGUUUUGUGAUUAUUCCGGUUUGGAGUUUGGAAAUUACCAUAUUUUUCUUUGUCCCCCUUUUGACUUGAAGUUAUCGCUCCGAUCUGUUUUCCUGUUGAUUCCGGUAGAUAGGUUCGGUUCGUGGUUACUGGUCUUUGGUUUUUGCAAGAAAGAG